UUAAAAAUGACUUCCUUCAUCUCUAGCCAUCCCUUAAGGUUUCUUUUAAACAGGGUUGUUUUAAGCAUAAAAAUUGUGUGAAAGCCUGCAGGUGAUCCUCAUAUCAAAAGACUUAUGUGAUUUUUAUUUCCUGGAACGCACUCCCCAAACACCUCACUUGCAGGGCUGAGUUCUUCUGUGCAGGAGUGAGAAGCAGUGGUCCUUUUUAAAAUGUUCUGCCUUCAGUGACUUGAAACAUGCUAUAAGAAGUCACAGACACUCAGGUUUGGCAUCUCCCUGAAAAUGCAGCACAAUGAGAGUUCUGAAGUCUGCAAGUCAGAGAUCAGUGCUGAGGACAAGAUCUCAAGACUCCCUGUUUCCUACAAUAUACAGCCUGUCCCUGCCUAUUCCUGGUUAAACCAAGGAGAAAUCGUUGAGGACAAGCACUUCAGCACAUCAGCUGCAUUGUCUCAAAAUGGAGAGAAGUUCAGAAACAACUUGCUAUUUUCUGACCUAAGGGUGAUGUGUUUGGUUUCUGGGAGAAGCAUUUACUUCCUCAUUCAGUAGCUAUACUUUUAUUCCUUCCCC